rnacentral:rRNA from 1 species
UACAGAGGGUGCAAGCGUUAAUCGGAAUUACUGGGCGUAAAGCGUGCGUAGUCGGUUAUCUAAGUCGAGUGUGAAAUCCCCGGGCUCAACCUGGGAAUUGCAUUCGAUACUGGAUAGCUAGAGUUCGGCAGAGGGAAGCGGAAUUUCGGGUGUAGCGGUGAAAUGCGUAGAUAUCCGAAGGAACAUCAGUGGCGAAAGCGGCUUCCUGGACCAGAACUGACGAUCAGGCACGAAAGCGUGGGGAGCAAACAGG